rnacentral:tRNA from 1 species
GCAGUAGCUCAGUGGCAGAGCACUUGCCUAGCACAUGUGAGGCACUGGGUUCAAUCCUCAGCACUGCA